CACCACUCAAGCUCAGCUUGGUGUUGGGCCAUCGCCCGCCUCGCUUCGGCGAUGGGCGUGCCUGAAAAUCAGUGGCGGUGCCAUCCAGCUUCAAGCGCAGUAAGAAUCACUUCCUCGCUUUGGAAGCCUGGGCGGUCGCUAGCCAGACAACCUUAUUAUACUCUUCUAA
rnacentral:misc_RNA from 1 species